UUCUAAUAAUUAUAUAUCUAUCUUCUAAAUAUAAACAAAACAUAAGAAAUAAAAAUUAGAAGUUUAUUUUCUUCAAAAACUUCAUGCUAUCAGAGCGCCGGUAAAAAGUUACAGUUGCACAUUUGCAAGCACCGAUAAAAAUUGAAGCUGCACGUCCACAUACAUCGAUAAAAAAGUGCAGUCGUACAUCCGAAAGUGCCGGUAAAUAUACACAACUGCACAACCGUAAGCAUUGGUAAAAAGUUACAGUUGCACAUCUUUAUGUACUGAAAAAAGUACUACACAUCCCAAGCGCCAGUAAAAAGGUGCAACCGCACAUCGGGAUACGCUAGUAAAAAGUUAAAGUCACACAUCCACAAGCGCUGGUAAAAAAUUAUAGC
rnacentral:lncRNA from 1 species